rnacentral:rRNA from 1 species
GAUGAACGCUGGCGGCGUGCCUAAUACAUGCAAGUCGAGCGAACAGACGAGGAGCUUGCUCCUCUGACGUUAGCGGCGGAUGGGUGUGUAACACGUGGAUAACCUACCUAUAAGACUGGGAUAACUUCGGGAAACCGGAGCUAAUACCGGAUAAUAUAUUGAACCGCAUGGUUCAAUAGUGAAAGACGGUUUUGCUGUCACUUAUAGAUGGAUCCGCGCCGCAUUAGCUAGUUGGUAAGGUAACGGCUUACCAAGGCGACGAUGCGUAGCCGACCUGAGAGGGUGAUCGGCCACACUGGAACUGAGACACGGUCCAGACUCCUACGGGAGGCAGCAGUAGGGAAUCUUCCGCAAUGGGCGAAAGCCUGACGGAGCAACGCUGCGUGAGUGAUGAAGGUCUUCGGAUCGUAAAACUCUGUUAUUAGGGAAGAACAAAUGUGUAAGUAACUAUGCACGUCUUGACGGUACCUAAUCAGAAAGCCGCGGCUAACUACGUG